CCAACAUGGCGGUCACCAUUUUCUCUCCCAACCCCGCGCCGACCACCGCAGCCUACCCAACCCUGCUCGUCGCCGACCACCGCAGCUCCGGUGCAUUCAAUCGCGCCCCCUCGCGGAACCCUAGCCGGCCGACCAAGUCCGUCGCGCAUUCAAUCGCGCUCACACGCGGGCGGAACCCUGGCGUCCCGCUGUCGAUGCGGCCCGUCCCGGCUCCGGCGACCACCCUCCCGGCGAGACCUCGCAGCGGCUGGAGCUGCGGCGCCGCCGUCCAGCCGCAGAUGUACGUGCUCCCCAUCCGCCGCAUCCCCGGCUUGACGCCCGCACACGUGGGCGACCAACCAACAGCCGAUGCUGAAUCCAUCCGGCGCUGCAUCAGAGUGGAGCGAGACCCUUCUCCACGGCGACCACGCGCGUCGACCUCACCCGCCACGGUAAGCAGAAGCAGAUCAAGGACGGCCUACCCCGGCUCCUCCCGCCGCAAGGCCAAGGAGAGGCCGGCGGGCGUUCGGAGAUGGCCGACGACCACGCAAAACGGCUCGUCCACUCCGACCUCGACGGCCAAGGCGGAGCUCGUCCGGUCAGAUGGCGCCCGCCAAAUUAAAGGUCACUUUAUACUGCAUAUGGAGCUCAUGACUACAGCCAUCAAAUGCCUCAAUCUGCUCCUCAAGCGGAACCUUAUGGUGACUAUCCUUCCACACACCAAUCUCAGGGGCCUACCGAAGCUGAGAAGAAAGAGAUGGCAGCACGGUGGCUCUUGGCUACUUCUGGUGACCUUGACCAGCUUGGAGGCUUGAUGGCAGAGCUGUGGGCCUAGCUGGUCUGUCCCAUAAAGAUGGGAUGGAAAUCCAAAUGACCAAGGAGAGCCGUCAGGGCUCAGCACCCAUGUGUUGUUAUGCCGGUGGCGUCGACGAUAGCAUCGGCGCUGCUGCAGCCCCAAGCGUUAGCCCGCUUUCGAUUUGCGACGCUGGCUCACUUUGUAGCCCUGUUCCUAAUAUUUUGCUUUAUACGAUUUAUUUGCUUGUGUUAUAUGCUGGUGUAACUAGUUAAAUGCCAAUUUAUUGAUUGUUGUAUGCCAGCGAUGAGGCCACGUUAGGGACCAAUUGCCGAUCACAAGAAUACAUAUUAUGUAGCUCAACAUUUUAGAAGCAAGAUCAUUCUAAUGUCUCAGUCACUUUAUCCUGCAUAUGGAGCUAAUGACUACAGCCAUCAAAUGCCUCAAUCUGCUCCUCAAGCGGAACCUUAUGGCGACUAUCCUUCCACACACCAAUCUGAGGAGCCUACUGAAUCUGAGAAGAAAGGUGUGGCACCACGGUUGCUCUUGGUGGCUUCUGAUGACCUUGGCAGGCUGCAGGGGCGCAUAAGCUUGCAGGGAUGACGGCUUGUAGGCACGGUGGGAGACCUGCAUGUCUAGCUGCUCAGGCCCAAGUUUCACCAAGGCGAGCUCGACACAUAAAGAUCGAUUAGUUCAAGUUGUACUAAAUCCGAGUCAAUUAAAAGAAACCAGAGGGAGUACCAUUUUGACCUGAUACAGUGCACCCCAUGCCCAUGAUUAUUCAUUGCUGCUGCUUCACCACACACCCAAGAGGAGUAGGUUCGGGAGAAAGAAAGGGACCCAAAAUAGAAAGAAGAAAGGGAAAAGAGAAGAGAUGGGGAUUCUGCGAAACUUCCUUGAGCUCGCCAUCAAUUCAUGUCUCGUGCUGCCAUGGGAAACCGGAAGGAAGCCGUUGAGCACCUUACCAAGGCGAUCCUAGUGAACCUCAACAACCAUGUAUGGUACAAAGUGGUCAUUCACAAUAGCAGCAAUGUAUGUGGAGACUGACAUUGAAAAUGUCGCCACUCUUUGUAUGUGGAGCUGUCCUCAUGAGGAGCUGGAUGCAGAGUGAAUGAACUCGAUCUCGACAUGUGGAAGAAGGUGAUUAUGUUUUUCCUGUAGUUUGUUUUGGUUGCACAAAACACCUUGGACUGUGUGCUAGUAAAAAAUGCCUUUCAGCUCAAUACAUGGUUUUAAAUUCCUUUGCGGUUGUUGCCUUUAACCAGGAAUGUAUCAAUGGUAAGUGGCGAAUUGCUAUGGAUGUGCUAUUAUGUUGCAUUGCAUCUGACUCACAUUUGCAUUUUACAUAUAUGCCCAUGAUUAGUCAGAACACACCAACAGGUCGGCUAUAGGAGGAAUUAUGUUUCCUCUCGACUGUUUGGUUUUCAUGGUUAGCGAUUUCUGUAUA